rnacentral:lncRNA from 1 species
AGCCCCCAACGCCCACUCUCUCUUAUUUUAUGCAAUAAAACCUUCUCUCCCAGGCCUUCACGUACGUCCAAAGCUUUUCAUUCUUUCUCUCUUAUAUGGAAUAUGGUUGUGGACCAAGUCAAAAUAGGAAUUAGUUUGGAUUUUAAAUUCUAUGAGAUAGAAUUUUAGGAAACCAAAACUCUUUCCUUAUGGCAUUGAUU